UUAAAUUUCUGAACGCAAUGGUAAUAUUUGACAUUUGACAACCAACUAAUAUGUCAAUUCAUCUUUUAUAAUCGAUACCUCAGUUAAAAAGUGCAUCUUUGAUCUGUCCAUGUGACAAUUACCGAUACGUGCGCGAGAAAUUUCUUUACUUCGGUUUUCCUUUUGAUAGCCAAUAGUGACAUUUCAACUUAUGUGCUCUUUUUUUGUUGAACUUUUGUGAUAGUGAUAGUGAAUAGUGACACUUUACCUACUGCUAAGUGCGCGAGAAGUGAGAACUCUUUCUCACUCUAAUUAAUUAUAAUUAACGAUGCCGGUUAAGACGAGCUGACUUAGGUCGUCGCAGUCAAACAAAUUUGCGAAAAGCUACUUCACGUGCUAACCACACUGAUGACCAGAGACUGAUCAACAAAAUUGUCGUACAGCUAUGUCAUAAUUGCGUUCUUUGGUGAGUGACGAUGAAGAAUGCAACAAGAACGAAGUGCUCCUGAGAUUGUGGAACGAGCUGCAUUCCACUAUAAUCUGGCAAUAGAUUAUUGUGCCGAUAAAUCGGUAACAAUUGGGGAAAUGACAAUAAUUUGUAAAUGGCGUUAAAAUACAGUGUUUAAUCUACUGGAGGCAAAGUAAAAUUACCACAAUUCACCACCAGAACCUUCACGCUCUUUAGUUUCUUGGAUUGGAAAUGAUUCUUAGCAGUUCUUGGCCAACAUUCAGAAAUAUAACAGCUGUUUCCAGAUAUCAUUGUUUGCUGCUACACAUAUUAUACAGGACAAUUUCAUGCCCACUUUCAAGGUACCACAAUAAAUUUAUCACUUACUUGGGGCACUGUUACCACCACCAGAUACAGAUCAUUAAUUUUACAAAUUAUGGACCCAAAAAAUUCAAAUAAUUUUAUGGGCAAUUCAGAUGUGGAAGUUGAUAAGUGGUGUUCACAAUCCAACAGUGAAGAGAACCAUCGUCCAAGAAUUACAAAUGUUUUUUCAUCAGAACAACAAUUUAGUAAACAUGUACAAAACAGCAUUGGAUUGGAUGCCAUCUGACCAUAAUAUUGUCAUUCGAGCUGACAAAACACCUGCUGGUUAACACAAAAAGAGGUUUAAUUCACCCACCAUUGAAGAAGUGGCCGUUGUCAUGUCAUUUGAGAGAAAAUUUACAAUCUAGAGAUACCGUGCUUCAUUGUCGGAAUAAUGAUUUGACUACAUGGUUAUAUUUUGAAUGAUUGAAAAUAUGAUAAAUAAUGAUUUACAAAGUGUAUCUGAAACACACAGGACUUAUGAUGCAUUACAAUAUCCUUUGAUUUUAUACUGAUACAAUUGAAAAUGCAAGGAAAAUAAAUAAAUCUUUUGGCAGGGGAAGGUGGGUUCCAUUUUAAUAUCAAAAUGGUGCAUCAAGUAACAGGUAUUGAACAAGAUAAAAUAAUAUUCUUAAAUUCAAUUCAUCGAAAAUAAUAAUAAAACUUCAUUCAUACUGA